rnacentral:rRNA from 1 species
UAGGGAAUCUUCGGCAAUGGACGAAAGUCUGACCGAGCAACGCCGCGUGAGUGAAGAAGGUUUUCGGAUCGUAAAACUCUGUUGUUAGAGAAGAACAAGGACGUUAGUAACUGAACGUCCCCUGACGGUAUCUAACCAGAAAGCCACGGCUAACUACGUGCCAGCAGCCGCGGUAAUACGUAGGUGGCAAGCGUUGUCCGGAUUUAUUGGGCGUAAAGCGAGCGCAGGCGGUUUCUUAAGUCUGAUGUGAAAGCCCCCGGCUCAACCGGGGAGGGUCAUUGGAAACUGGGAGACUUGAGUGCAGAAGAGGAGGGUGGAAUUCCAUGUGUAGCGGUGAAAUGCGUAGAUAUAUGGGGGAACACCAGUGGCGAGGGCGGCUCUCUGGUCUGUAACUGACGCUGAGGCUCGAAAGCGUGGGGAGCAAACAGG